UACGGGGGGGGCAAGCGUUGUUCGGAAUUACUGGGCGUAAAGGGCUCGUAGGCGGCCAACUAAGUCCGACGUGAAAUCCCAAGGCUUAACCUUGGAACUGCGUCGGAUACUGGAUGGCUUGAAUUCGGGAGAGGGAUGCAGAAUUCCCGGUGUAGCGGUGAAAUGCGUAGAGAUCGGGAGGAACACCGGCGGCGAAGGCGGCUGCCUGGACCAGUCCUGACGCUGAGGCGCGAAAGCUAGGGGAGCAAACAGG
rnacentral:rRNA from 1 species